AAAAAAACAACAAUCUAAAGAUGAGAUCUGAACUGUCAAUGCAAUAUUAGAGCAAGAGAGGUCAACAUUUGAUGGAUUGUUAUAUACUUGUGCAUAAAUAUCCAUUGUUUACCAAAAUAGCUGUAUUGCUUUUUCUACAUUUCCAAAUUUGGCAACAUGUUUGGGCAGCUGGUCAAAUAAUACAUUUAUAAAAGUCUCAUUGCAUAUUUUAAAUAAAUAUUCUGUUUUAUUUCUAGGUUUUUGAUGGUAAUGAAGACUCUGACACACCUUUUUGGGUCUUAGUGACUCCUGCUAUUGUUACACGUUUCCUGAGACUGCAUCCUGAAAACUGGAAGGGUGGUAUUGCUCUAAGAAUGGAAGUUCUAGGUUGCAAAAUAUCUUGAGUUUUUUUUUGUUUUUGGUGGGUGUUCCCUUGAUAUUCCAUACAUAUGCUAUGUAUAGUAAAGUUAAAUAAACUUGAUAAUAUUUGUUAAGUUCGGUGACAUCUACUUGCCUAUGUUUGUAUCUAACUUUCUGCCUACAAAUUAUCCAGCUAUCACAUAGCUAUCUGUCUGUUUAGUCUAAUUCAUCUAAUCUAUUAUCCACCUGCCUUAUAUGAACAGUCUUACCUACAUAAUAAAAAUAACAGAACCAGUGAAACUGAUUGUGAGACCAGCAGCCGAUGUAAAGUAGGUGGCUCUGUAUAAAUAAAUAGUAAGAGUUAAAAAAAAAAAUUACAUAAUUCCAAGAUCCAAAGUCUGCAAACCCUUCGUCCAGGACGAGAAUAGAGAAGCAGCUAAGAACAUUGUACAACAAACUACUCAGCAGCCUUAGAAAAUAAGCAAAAAAAAAAGAUGUUUCUCCAAAAUAUACUGCCUGACAUGGAUGUAAUAACUGGUGUACCAUACAAAAGUGGAUUGUUAAAGGAUAACUAUAGUGCGAGGAAAACAUACUUGUUUUCCUUGCACUAUAGGGUCUCUAGGUCCCCCUCCCGCCGGGCUCUAGGGUGAGGAAGGGGUUAAACACGUACCUUUUCUCCACCGCCGGGCUCCCUCGGCGGUGGGGACUCUCCGCCUCCUUUCCCGUCAUCGGCUGAAUGCGCAUGCGUGGCACGAGCAUUCAGCCAGUCUCAUAGGAAAGCAUUUCUCAAUGCUUUCCUAUGGACGUCCAGUGUCUUCUCACUGUGAUUUCCACAGUGAGAAGCGCAGACGUGCCUCUAGUGGCUGUCAAUGAGACAGCCACUAGAGGCUGGAUUAACCCAUAGGUAAACAUAGCAGUUUCUCUGAAACUGCUAUAUUUACAGCAGACAGGGUUAAUGUCUGGCACCCAGACCACUUCAUUAAGCUGAAGUGGUUUGGGUGCGUAUAGUGGUCCUUUAAGGAUAACUAAGCCCUGCAAUACAUGUUCUUGCAUAUUUACAUAAUGAAGCAUAAAGGGGAAAUUUUACAGAUAAACCAACCCAAGCUUUAUACUUGCCAGUACCAUAUUUUGUGGUUGGAUUUCCUUGUUGGGAAUACAUUUUCUUAACUUUUCCAUGUGGGACAGUAUAUAAACUGAACCCAAAAAUUAGUUGUGCCCAUGCAGGCAGAUUACAGAGUUCCUCAGAUGAAGGGAGGCUGAACUACUUCUGGUAUACCUAUGGUAGACAUGGAAGUUGGCCAAAAAUAAAAAAAUUAAAUCAGAAAUAAAAUAUCAUGUUGUCUGACUGAGGACAGGAAAAAGAGUUAUGGAAGGACCUUGAAUGCCUAGAUUUGGUUACUUGCUUACUGUCCUGAUCCAACUGGAGGUUGAGCUACCCAUAAGUGAUGCUGCCAUGAUUAGCCUGGAAGUAUGUUUUUCUGUAUUUUUCUUUCCACAUAUAUUUAAAUCUAGGCUGAUUUAAAGCAAAAAAAAAAAAAAAAUCACUACCUAAUAUAUAGCUAAUAGUAAAUAAAUAGUUGGGAUUGUUAGGCACCUACUAUUUUUCUAUCUUCCCAAAAGGGUAAUAUAACACAUAGUAAGUUGCGCUCUUCAUUUUGCUUCAGUAUCUUUUGACUUUGUACCAUAGUGCACAGACUGCAACAGUUUAUUUUUCAGCAACUUCCAAGUCUGGUCCCCACAAGUUAAACUAAGUCAAAUAACUUGGGAUUUCCAAUCACUCUUUAUUGUGUUUUUGUUGUCCUCUAUUUAGGACUGAUAAAUUAAAUUUUAUGCUUAAUUUUGAACUUUGAAAUUAUUAUUUUUAUACCUUGUACGAUUGGUUUACACACAUUCAAAUACAGUAUAUUCAGCUCCUGGUCUCACAACCAGUUUCGAGGGUUUUGUUGUUUUUUGUUACCCUUUGAGAUUUCCUAUUCUUGUUCUAGUAGGUUGUCUCUAUGCUUCUUAACUAUCUUAUGUAGUCUGUUUUAGGAAUAGUGGCUAUAAUUAUUCAGUUUACUCUUUCUCUCUCUCUGUAUAAACUCCCACUCUGCUUUAUGUUUGUAAUUAUUGAUGCAAAUAGCCAAAGAUUGUCAGAGAGUGUCCAUGGGCAAGUGUGAUGGAAGUACAGACCUGCUGGGGCACCACUUCGCUGAUGGGACAGUUUCCCUGCACACUUUUUAAUUAUUACUUGGUUCUUUUCUACUCUAGGUAUAAGGGCUCUAAGGUUUAUGCAAGUAUAAUUCUGAAAUCUGCAUCAUGCUUUUAUUCUAGACAGCUACACCCUCCCCACACACACACAGCCUGAAUUAAAUUUUGCUGGUUCACACAAUUGUACAUAUUUGUGGUUUUCUUUUAUUUUUAAGUUUAUUUUUUCCAUUUCUAAUUUCUUUGAG